GUCUAUGGCCAUGCUACCCUGAACAAGCCCGAUCCUGUCUGAUCUCGGAAGCUAAGCAGGGUCGGGCUUGGUUAGUACUUGGAUGGGAGACCACCUAGGAAGACCAGGUGCUGUAGGCA
rnacentral:rRNA from 1 species